CCCUCUCACUCCCAGAGUGGUUGACUUGGAUGAUCUCACUGAAGAGAAGACCCCUCCCUCAUCGCCUCACAGCUAUCCCCAGCCUGGCUUCCUCCAAAUACAGAGGGCUGGCCUGCCAUUUCCACAAAGCAGAGCACGAAGCUGGAAGAGGGACGUGGAGAUGUUAAAACGACAACAAAAAAUAUAUAUAUAAAAACAGG